rnacentral:rRNA from 1 species
AGAGUUUGAUCCUGGCUCAGAUUGAACGCUGGCGGCAUGCCUUACACAUGCAAGUCGAACGGUAACGCGGGGGCAACCCUGGCGACGAGUGGCGAACGGGUGAGUAAUACAUCGGAACAUAUCCAGUAGCGGGGGAUAACCUAUCGAAAGAUGGACUAAUACCGCAUACGAUCUACGGAUGAAAGCAGGGGACCGCAAGGCCUUGCACUAUUGGAGUGGCCGAUGUCGGAUUAGCUAGUUGGUGAGGUAAAGGCUUACCAAGGCGACGAUCCGUAGCUGGUCUGAGAGGACGAUCAGCCACACUGGAACUGAGACACGGUCCAGACUCCUACGGGAGGCAGCAGUGGGGAAUUUUGGACAAUGGGCGCAAGCCUGAUCCAGCCAUGCCGCGUGAGUGAAGAAGGCCUUCGGGUUGUAAAGCUCUUUCGGUGAAGACGAAACGGUUAGCGCUAAUAACGCUGACUAAUGACGGUACUCACAGAAGAAGCACCGGCUAACUACGUGCCAGCAGCCGCGGUAAUACGUAGGGUGCAGGCGUUAAUCGGAAUUACUGGGCGUAAAGCGUGCGCAGGCGGUUUGCUAAGACAGGUGUGAAAUCCCCGAGCUUAACUUGGGAAUUGCGCUUGUAACUGGCAAGCUAGAGUGUGGCAGAGGGGGGUGGAAUUCCACGUGUAGCAGUGAAAUGCGUAGAUAUGUGGAGGAACACCGAUGGCGAAGGCAGCCCCCUGGGUUAACACUGACGCUCAUGCACGAAAGCGUGGGGAGCAAACAGGAUUAGAUACCCUGGUAGUCCACGCCCUAACUAUGUCAACUAGUUGUCGGGGAAGAAAUUCCUUGGUAACGAAGCUAACGCGUGAAGUUGACCGCCUGGGGAGUACGGCCGCAAGGUUAAAACUCAAAGGAAUUGACGGGGACCCGCACAAGCGGUGGAUUAUGUGGAUUAAUUCGAUGCAACGCGAAAAACCUUACCUACCCUUGACAUGCUAGGAAGCCCGCAGAGAUGUGGGUGUGCCCGAAAGGGAACCUAGACACAGGUGCUGCAUGGCUGUCGUCAGCUCGUGUCGUGAGAUGUUGGGUUAAGUCCCGCAACGAGCGCAACCCUUGCCAUUAGUUGCUACAUUUAGUUGGGCACUCUAAUGGGACCGCCGGUGACAAACCGGAGGAAGGUGGGGAUGACGUCAAGUCCUCAUGGCCCUUAUGGGUAGGGCUUCACACGUAAUACAAUGGUCGGUACAGAGGGCUGCCAACCCGCAAGGGGGAGCUAAUCCCAGAAAGCCGAUCGUAGUCCGGAUUGUAGUCUGCAACUCGACUGCAUGAAGCCGGAAUCGCUAGUAAUCGCGGAUCAGCAUGUCGCGGUGAAUACGUUCCCGGGUCUUGUACACACCGCCCGUCACACCAUGGGAGUGGGUUCCACCAGAAGUAGUUAGCCUAACCGCAAGGAGGGCGAUUACCACGGUGAGAUUCAUGACUGGGGUGAAGUCGUAACAAGGUA